rnacentral:rRNA from 1 species
CGCAAGCCUGAUCCAGCAAUGCCGCGUGUGUGAAGAAGGCCUUAGGGUUGUAAAGCACUUUCAAUUGGGAAGAAAAGCAUUCGGUUAAUACCCGGGUGUCUUGACGGUACCUUUACAAGAAGCACCGGC